AAAGGAAUGGUUACAACCCUCAGAUACUGUCUGACCUGCUGACUAUUUUACAGCCUUCUUUUUUUUUUAAAUUUUGGAUUUCCCGCAACUGCUGAGUUUAAUAGUAGAAGAAACUGAAACAGUAAAAAAGAAGGUCAUUUGAUCCUUUGUGUCUGCUCUUUCAUUCAAUAAAAUCAGCGUGCAGCUCAAACUGCUUUUGAAGGAUGAAGGCUCACAUUACUCUGAUUAUUGCCUUGCUGAGUUCUGUCAGUUUAUCGAAAAGAAUUCAUUCUAAAAAGCAGAGGGCCCCAUAUUCAUGUGUGCGA